GAUGAACGCUGGCGGCGUGCCUAAUACAUGCAAGUCGAGCGAACGGACGAGAAGCUUGCUUCUCUGAUGUUAGCGGCGGACGGGUGAGUAACACGUGGAUAACCUACCUAUAAGACUGGGAUAACUUCGGGAAACCGGAGCUAAUACCGGAUAAUAUUUUGAACCGCAUGGUUCAAAAGUGAAAGACGGUCUUGCUGUCACUUAUAGAUGGAUCCGCGCUGCAUUAGCUAGUUGGUAAGGUAACGGCUUACCAAGGCAACGAUGCAUAGCCGACCUGAGAGGGGGAUCGGCCAACCGGGAACUGAAACCCGGUCCAGACCCCUAGGGGAGGAAGCAGUGGGGAAUUUUCCGGAAUGGGGGAAAGCCUGACGGGGAAACGCCGGGUGGGUGAUGAAGGUUUUCGGAUCGUAAAACUCUUUUAUUGGGGAAAAACAUAUGUGUAAGUAACUGUGCACCUCUUGACGGUACCUAAUCAGAAAGCCACGGCUAACUACGU
rnacentral:rRNA from 1 species